rnacentral:lncRNA from 1 species
ACGUUUAUCAGCAGCUUGGAUAUCAGCGAGACACCUCUGAAAUAGUUUAAAUGCUGCAGAAGACACAGAUUUCCAAGCUACUGCUAAAAAUUAUAGCAGUUUGGGAGGAACGCAGCACAGAACAGCUCUGGAAACAAUGGAUUCACAAAACUUCUGGAAAAAAUGUCCUACAUCUGGUUAGUGUGCAUCACAGUUCUAUAACAAUAACGCUUUGUUGGAAGGCACAGUGCUAAAAACUAGGAUGCGAGCAGAGAAGAAACAUCAAAGUGAUACUGUGGAGAGGAUUUUGGUGUAAAGUAAAGCAAGGAUCCAAGAAGUAUAAAACCUUCAAGGGAGAGGAUAAGGAUGGAUAUCACCGGGACUAUCAGGAAGCAGAAGAUAAAAGAAGUUCAAGCUUUACACUUUGUAGGUGGAGCUUCAGAUCCUGAAGGGAAAAUGCCAGGCUUCUCAUGUUGAAGUAAUGGGUUUUCAUGACUGUAGACUGCAACAAGGC